rnacentral:rRNA from 1 species
CCUACGGGGGGCAGCAGUGGGGAAUAUUGCACAAUGGGGGAAACCCUGAUGCAGCGACGCCGCGUGAGUGAAGAAGUAUUUCGGUAUGUAAAGCUCUAUCAGCAGGGAAGAUAAUGACGGUACCUGACUAAGAAGCCCCGGCUAACUACGUGCCAGCAGCCGCGGUAAUACGUAGGGGGCAAGCGUUAUCCGGAUUUACUGGGUGUAAAGGGUGCGUAGGUGGCAGGGCAAGUCAGAUGUGAAAGCCCGGGGCUCAACCCCGGUACUGCAUUUGAACCUGGCCAGCGGGAGUGCAGGAGAGGUAAGGGGAAUGCGGAGGGGAGCGGUGGAAGGCGUAGAUAUUAGGAGGAACACCAGUGGCGAAGGCGGCUUACUGGACUGUAAGUGAGACUGAGGCACGAAAGCGUGGGGAGCAAACAGGAUGAGAUACCCUGGUAGUC